GUUGGAAAAACGCGAUUGAUGGUUCAUCUAAACUUUCUAUUUUCUGCAGAUGUUUUGCGAGGAACGUGGCUUAUUUUUGGAAAUAGCUGAUAUUAUAAGAGGAUUGGGCUUGACUAUCCUGAAGGGGGUGAUGGAAACAAGGAACGACAAAAUAUGGGGAAAAUUUGCUAUAGAGGCUGACACAGAUGUCACAAGGAUGGAGAUAUUCAUAUCACUCGUUCGCCUCUUGGAGAAAACAACAAAAGGUGGAACAGAACUUGUCAAUGCUAUCAAUAACAACACAGCAAUAGUGCAUUCAUUCCACCAAGUAACGAUAUUACCUUCAACCGGUACAUCUUGUAGUUUGUUGUGAUCAACAUGUUACUACUGGUUCACCCGGUAAUGUUAAGAGAAAGCGACUGUUACAUGCUUGCCAUGACAACAUUUACACUAAAAUGAUACUUCUGGUGGUUCUAACAUUAUUCGGUAAUUUUUGUGUCCCAUGAGCUAAGGUGUAUCAGAAACUCAGAAUCUCCUGAAAAGCAUAAGCUCUACUUUAGGCCCUCAUUCAAGGUGGAUAGAAUAUUCCAAUCCACCCCUGUUUGUAAACUUGUAAAUUAUGUAGCAAUCAGAUGCUAUAGAAUACCUCCUGUAGGAUGCUAUGAUUGCACAAGUUAGUUGUUUUAAUUCUUUCCUUAAAUGUUGGUCAUAAAAAGGUUGUUUUUUA